rnacentral:rRNA from 1 species
UACGUAGGCAGCAAGCGUUGUUCGGAAUUACUGGGCGUAAAGAGUGUGUAGGCGGUGCUCUAAGUCUGUUGUGAAAUCUCCCGGCUUAACUGGGAGGGUGCGGCGGAGACUGGAGUGCUAGAGUGUGGGAGAGGUAAGCGGAAUUCCAGGUGUAGCGGUGAAAUGCGUAGAUAUCAGGAGGAACACCUGUGGUGUAGACAGCUUACUGGACCACGACUGACGCUGAGACACGAAAGCGUGGGUAGCAAACAGG